UCCUGGGAUAGGUCAGUCAGUAGAGCAUUAGACUCUUCAUCCCAGGGUUGUGGGUUCAAAUCCCACGUCGGGCA